rnacentral:lncRNA from 1 species
UCAUAGUGACAAUGAUGUAAUGGUCCUCCAACCUGAAAUCACUAUAUUACUACACGGGAAUUUAUGUACUUUGAUAUCAUCAAAUGUCACCUUUAACAGGGUGGACUAUAAAGGUGAUUAUUGGGUACAUCAUGAAUCGUGUGAGGAAUAUGAGUGAUCUAGAUGGAAUUUAACCUUCCUAUAUAUUAGUGAUGAUAUCCAUAGGCCUCUUGAUUGAGUAGGACUAUGAAAUGCAUGGCCAUGCUCAAAUAGUGAUUUGUUUCAUAUAGUCUACUCAUUGAUCAAGAAAACUCAGAUUAAAUUAUGAAGAGUAUGACAGAUUCCAUGACUCGAGUUUAAUCUUGGAUAUUAAGGUUAAAAGGAUUAGAUUACAUUGAAACAUUGGUCACGAAAAGGUUGCAUCGAAUCAUCGAUCUUAUUAUUACUUGGGUAGCAGUGAUGCAUUACUAGAUGCCGCUCACUGUUUAUAAUUUUAUAAUAUGAUUUUAAAAUUAUUGCCAACGUAAUAAUAACCUAUAGGGUCACACACAUAGAACGUUAUUAAAAGGGAAUUAAUUUAAAG